UGUUAACCAAUUAACGCCUCUAACUACUACAGAAGCGGUGCAUACAUGUAACGAUCAACUUCUGAAUUCCGCCGAAAAGGAAGAUCAUAAUAGUGAUGACGAAAAUUCGCAUUUGUCGGAGAGUUCCCUAUUUGCAGAUUCAUCAGUUUCUUGGAAGCCCAAUCAAGAGAAUGAUGUCACUUCAGAAGAUAAUUAUUCCGAGAUAAGCGAGUCUAUCCCCCGAAAAUCACCUAUAUAUUUUCAGACCGCUUCUAAGGAACGUCAGUCAUCAAAUCCUGUCAAGUGUAUUGAAAGUUCUCUUGACGCGAAAAAUCCACUCCCAACGAGUCCAAAACCAUUACCUACAUCAGACUGUGAUUUAUCGGGUUCCACUCGAAGACCAAUUCAUAAAAAUCCUGUGGAACACAGUCUACGUAAGGGAAGAGUAUGGGACAAAAAGGAUCGCUGCUCUUACUGUGAUAAAGACGUCACUAAUUUUUCAAGACAUCUUUUUAGAAAACAUGCAGAAGAAGAAAGUGUACGAAAAA